rnacentral:rRNA from 1 species
AUUGAACGCUGGCGGCAUGCCUUGCACAUGCAAGUCGAACGGCAGCACGGGUGCUUGCACCUGGUGGCGAGUGGCGAACGGGUGAGUAAUACAUCGGAACAUGUCCUGUAGUGGGGGAUAGCCCGGCGAAAGCCGGAUUAAUACCGCAUACGAUCUACGGAUGAAAGCGGGGGACCUUCGGGCCUCGCGCUAUAGGGUUGGCCGAUGGCUGAUUAGCUAGUUGGUGGGGUAAAGGCCUACCAAGGCGACGAUCAGUAGCUGGUCUGAGAGGACGACCAGCCACACUGGGACUGAGACACGGCCCAGACUCCUACGGGAGGCAGCAGUGGGGAAUUUUGGACAAUGGGCGAAAGCCUGAUCCAGCAAUGCCGCGUGUGUGAAGAAGGCCUUCGGGUUGUAAAGCACUUUUGUCCGGAAAGAAAUCCUUGGCCCUAAUACGGUCGGGGGAUGACGGUACCGGAAGAAUAAGCACCGGCUAACUACGU